CAAACAGAGCCUGCAGCCUGCGGGCCGAAUCCAGCCUGCUGCCUGUUGUGCAAAUAAAGUUUUAUUGGCACACAGCCACAUUCGUUUGUUUGCAUUUUGUCCGUGCCUGCUUUCGAGUUACAACCGGAAACUUGAGUUGCAGCCUAGACGGUUUGGACCCAAAGUAUUUACUAUGCGAUCCGUUACAGGAAAUGUCUGCUGACCUCUGAGAUUUUCCCAUUUCCCUGCUUAUCUUCUUCACAGUAAUGAUUAUUAUCUGAAAUUACUUAGCUUUUGUUUGCUUGUUUGUUUCUGACUUGUGUGAGAAGAUAAGCUUCUUACAGGUUAUAUUUCUCUCUGCCUAGAACCUAGUGCACGUUACAUUUUGGUUGAGUGGAUUCAGUACAUUCAUGCUUUGGCCUUUUGUCAAUGCAGAGAGGGCUCCUGAGUAUACUGUGUUUAGGGUGUCGUCUCUUGAACUUGAUGAGAAGAAGCCCAGAUGUAAAACCAGUGAGAAGCAUCGUGUAUGUCAUUUCACCCAAGGCCAUGGUCAUUAACCAGAGCUAACUCUCAUUUGCCGAGAACAGGAAGGCUGCUCACGCAACUCACUUCUCAGCUACCAAACAUUUUAGUUUAACCCUAUCUGACCAAAGGAGUGAGCUUCUUUCUCUAAAAGCUUGACCCAUGUGAGGAAAGGUUUCUUUGUUUUUCUCUGCUUAAUCCUAUCACCUUGUCCCAUACCACCUGUGCAAACCCCACGUGUACUUGGCCACGGGUAACCUCCCCAUACCCUUGUUGCCUCACGCAUUGCAACUGGCUGGAAAUAAAUGUUUACACUCCAUUUAACCUAUCCCCCCUUCACCUUGACCUACUACUGCAGAACCGCUUUUAUCUGCUCUCCUCCCUCCUCUGCGUGGAGUUCCGUACGUUAG